CGCAAACAUAAAUUCGUAGACAUAAAUUCCCAAAUCAAUAAUCAUUCAUCAUUAAACAUGAACUACUUAUCAUAAAUCACAAUUUACAAACAUAAUUUUGUAAACAUAAAUUUCCAAAUCAAUAAUCAUAACUUAUAAAACGUAAAUUAGUUAUCAUAAAUCACAAUUCGUAAUCCUAAUUUCGUAAACAUAAAUUCCUGAAAGAAAGAAGGAUUUCUUAUCUAAGCCAAGCUUCCUUUUUUUCCCAAGUUCGGCUAGAAUUAACAAUUGAACAUGCAUUACGCAACAUCAAAAAGUUUGGUAGGCAACAAAAUUAAACAAAAACAAAACCAGAGAGAGAGAGAGAGAGAGAGAGAGAGAGAGGGAGGGAGGGAGAGAGAGUCACUAGUCACCAGAGAGACUUAGGGUACUCCUUGGCUCGAUAGUCGGCAACAGAAGUUGUAAAACACAUUGUCUCACAUCUGUGCAGGCAGUGCACUCGUGCAGCAUCAGCAAUUUAGCAAUCAGCAUACAGGCUAAUAGUAAUAGAUGACUGAAAAUUGCACAAAAAAAUGGAAAUAUGGAAUACCUUCAUAUUAAUUAUUACCCCUAAAAAAAUUUCAAUUGCACAAAAAAUAAUUUAUAUUUCUAUUUCUAGUAAAUUGCACAAAAAAUAAAUCCAAUUUUUCAAACAGAUCACAGAAGGAAAUAUGGAAUACCUUCAUAUUAACCCUAAAACAAUUUCGUGUUGAUUAUUGUAAAAUUUAAAUUCGAUGAUUAACAUAAAUUGUCACUCUGUGUUGACUUUAUUUGAUGUCUAAACAUCUAAUAACACUGAACCUUAGUACUUACGCGAAUUUUUCGAAAGCAGAGAUUUCGAAAUUGCAUCAAAUGUCCAAACUCCAAUGAAUUUGUGUUGUUCCCUCUUCUUCGAAUUCGAAUUGAAAUUGGAAUUAUAGAUUGGAAUGGAGUACGCCGUGUGGAUUGGAGAGUUAAGAAAUGAGGAAAAGUAGAAAAGGGUUUGGCUUUCUCUUUCACGAUUUGGGGAUUGGAUUUGGAAAUUUCUCUAUUUCGCGUUUCACCCCUGCCCUCUGCCUUUGUGGUUUAAGACUUUCACGCUUUCAGGCUUCAGCAGUCAGUAGUCAUCUUAGUGGUUUGGGACUUUGGUUGAUCCAAUUCCAAUUAUUAAUGGUAUUGGACAUUUGUGCUAAUCAAAAUUGGGCAAAAAAUAACCUUAAUCAAUAAGCUUCAGCCCAGCAAUUCGGCCCAAACCAAAAAAAAAAAAAAAAAUUGGAAGAAGAAGAAGAAAAGGGAUCUUGUCUUCAUUCUGUCAUCUUCGUCUCAUCUUUAGUCUCUUCUCUGAUCGGCUCUGCAACUUUCCCAUUUGCUACUCGACGGUUCUCAAGACUUCGACGGAGCCAGUACGGGCAACUGCGCCCCCUCGUCGGGUACAGGCUCAGCGCCUGAUCCCAAGCAAAGGAAAAAAUCCUGAUAAUGCAAAAGAAAUAAUACAAAAAUGUGCCUUUGAAUACAUCAGCAUCAUAGCUUCUAAAGAAAAUGAGAACAUUGCAAGACAGUCACUCAUAAGAAUGUUCUCUAUGCCAUGGAAAUUGGGGUUUGAAAACUAUGUAGAACUCCUCACACUUAUGUUGAACAAGGACCAAGCGCAAAACGCGGAGUGUAGUCUUAAUGUCUAGAUCUAAUAUCUCUG
rnacentral:lncRNA from 1 species